CUGUGGCUGGGGGGAGGGGGCGGGAAGCCAACCGCGGCCCGGGCCGGGGGGAAGGCGGAGCGGGCUGGGUGAGGAGCGGGGAGCGGCCGGAGCUCCGGAGGCUGAGCGGACGCGCGGUGGGAGGCGAGAGGCGGUGGCUGAAGCCGGGGCGUGAGCGGGCCCAGGCCUAGGACCUGCGGCGGGGACAACCGGCUGGCUGAAGGGUCGCCUUUUUGUGGGGUCAGCUUAUGGGCUGGUGCAAAGGAUGAAUUGCACGUUGUUGAAGCAGAGGCUAUGAAUGAUGAAGACAGUCCAAUUAAAGUAACACUGGCAGCUUUUAAAAUGUCUGGACAGCCAACGGGAAGCUCCUUGGGAGCUCUGAAAUUACACCACCUGUGGUCUUAAGCUUGAGGUGUUGUUCGGGACUUGUGCAUAUUAGUGGAAAGCACUUAGUAGUUUGAUAUGAGAUACUCCAGCCAAAAAUGCACAGAAAUCAAAACAGAAUGGAAAGACUCAAAACUGUCAACACCAAGAUCAAAAAUGCCGAUUUUUGAAUACCAAAAGAAUGACUACAGCAAGACUGAAAGGAGAUUGUGGAAGAUUUUCCAAAAGGUCUAGACAGUCAUUUGGAGUUGAACAUAAUGGGAAAGUGUUGUAUAUUCUGUGUAGUAAAAGUGCUAUCUGUCACACAUCAAGUGUCAGAUGGCAGGCAGUUUGAGAGCAACCAUAAAUGUGUUGUCAAAUCUGGUGAAACUGAAAGAAAAGCAUUUCUUGAAUGGAAA